rnacentral:lncRNA from 1 species
GCUGUGUCUGAGGAUCUACCCAGAGUGGGGCAGAGUUGCAGACUGGGUUGCCCAUGGCAGUUGGAGUGUGUUAGAAGCUUCCACAUGGUAGGAUAUCAUUCUUAAAGAGGCAGUGAGUAUUCUCGGGAAGCAGGUCUUUGGUUGAAUACAAAGGGCUUCCCAUAAAAGCUGAAUCCCAGCCCUUUCCUGAUAUCCCCAAGAGAAGGGAAAGACCACUGCAGACCCCUGGGAUGGAAGGAGACGGAGCAGAGACAGGAAUGGCACCUAGGCUGGAUAUAUCUUCCAGCCCCUCACUCUGCCACCUCUCCUUCUGGUCAACUUGAGCAUCUGGAGUUGGCAACAGGCAAGUGUCCCUUCCUUAUCUGCCUCCUCAGUGUGGAAGGGCGCUUGAAGGAACAGAAGAGAAAUCACUCCCAGUACUCUGGAUUCCCCUCAGCAAUCUCGAGAAGCUGGAUAGAAACCAGCUGGGCAGCGCCCCCUGGUGGCACAAAACUUAGGAGACUGACACCACACUACUGACCUCAAGAAGAGUGGCCCUAUAAAGACAAUACUAAGAAUUUCACGAAUCCAUAGAGGUGCUGAGGUGAAGAGGCUCUCAGUUCUCCAUCUUUGCUUUGUAUGAAAUGACACAGAUACCCUCCAAGAAAAUCUGUAUCCUUAGUGAAACCUUCCCCCACUGAGACAGCCUUUUGAGGUUAUACUGGAAGAGCAAGCAUAAUGAUGCCUCUGGAAGGUUCCAUAUCCUUGAAAUGCCUAUUCUGUGGCACAGGGGUGAAGCUAGAAAAGGAAGGGAAGGAAAAUGCUUGGAGUUUACACCACAGGAGAGACAUGCUAGCCAGCCAAGUGCUGAUAAUUACCACCACAUAGGGAGUGACCACAUAGGUCAUCUUCAUGACACAGGAAAACAACUCUCAACUCCCCGCGGAGCACAUUCCUUCACUGUGAAGUCUUCCCGAACCCAUCUCCCCCCGUCUUUCAGAAAGAAGAGAGCGGGGCUUGGCUGCCUCUUCAGUGAGAUUUCUAAAAAAGUCGCUGCUGAUGGCGGCAGUCGGAGAACAUGAGGGGGAAGAAGAGAGCUGACGCAAUCUACAUUUAUUAGCAGUGAGGGAAAUUAAUAAGGCAUACCAGUGCAAGGCCCACUCCAUAGACCCGGGAAGCCCCAGGGACCGCUGGAAAUCUGGUGGUCUCCGCCCUGGCGGAGUCUUCAAAAUACCUCAUCAGUUGCAAUCCUAGAUUGCCACAGCUGGAACGAGGCUUGGUCAUGGCCAUCAUCUAACGUCCCAAGGACAAAUGCUUUUUAUCACGCAUGCCAAAUCUAAUUGAUUGGUAGGGGUGGCCUGAAUCUCUAUGUUGAAAAGGAUUCUGAGGUAUCUGGGUCCCUUGGGAGAGGGGGACUGUAAUUGAUUGGCAGAUGUCUGCCAUGGGUGAAAGUGGAGGAGUGGCAGUGUUCACACCAUACGCUGCUGGCCAUGCCUCCCACAUUAUUGAUGGGGGAGACUGAGUCCCAGAGCCCAUCUUGUAUAAGGGUUUCCCCCCAGUCUUCUUGGGAAGCCAGCUGCUUUGGAUAAAUGGCACCCAGUCCUGACCUCGAGGCUACAGAUGUCAGAUCCAAGGGCUGUCUCCAGAAGCAAAGGCAACUAACAGCUUGGGUGAGCUGGGUUAAUUGCCAGUUUCCUGAAAACAACUGGUAGAUGCAGUUAUCACCUUGAACUGAUCGGUUGGCUCAACAGUUGCAGGUGACAUGGCAGGCCUUUACAGUCGACCUAAGACUAGUGGCCAGUUUGGUUAGGACAGGAUCUGUGGGAAAGAUUAACUAAAUAUUUGGGCACAGGACAAUAAAACCCCCAAAUAGUCAAUGAAGUUGCCCAAAUAGGAUGAAUCACUGUCCAGCGUAUUUGGGUUGAGCUGGCCUUGCUGCUCUACCCACGACCCCACCUCUUUGUACCAUCUCCUCGGGCCCUGCCAACCCAGUUCAUUUCCUUCUCUCUCAAGUCUGACCUUGCUUCUCUUGGCAGAGAGGCCUUCUGAGGUACACCGGGUUCCUCAGACAAGCCUUCCUGGCCCCACCACACCUGCUGACCAGUUCUGUUACCCGAAGUCUGCCACAGCACAAAUACCAACCAGGCUACCUCCCAUUUUUAAAACCAGGGACCCUGCCGCCUGAGAUUGGAAAGAACCCACCUGACGUCACAUGGGGUUGACAGAUCCAUGGCACCUGCCUUGAGUAAAUACAUCCUAUAGAGUUCACCUCAGAUUCAUUUACUCUUCAGAACAGCACAAAUAGCUUCUGAGGAUGCCCAGAGAAGGUCCUGAGAUAAGGUCUGGGUGUUAAGAACUUGGCACAUGGAGGGAGUCUGAUGAGGGUGUAAGGUGGGGUACAGGAAGGUAGCUAGGCUAUAGGAAAGGACCCGUGAGGUAGAAAGUGCAGCAAGGCUGUCCAGAGGCCUGGUUACCACCUCCUGGGAACAUAUCUCAUCUCCAGACACUUGUCCCACCGAGCCCUAAGAAAUCUGGCCACCUCCUUAGGUCCUUAACAUCCCUCACCUUGAGCAGAACGAUCCUCUAUGUAGGGUGCCAGAGGAGAAACUAGCUCUCACUAGUGUGCUAAAAGACCUCAGUGGCGGGGCAAGAGCUCAGGCUAUGGAGAGACAGCCCGGGGUUGAGCUCUGGCUCAUCUCUUAAUGACCUCACAGAUCAAGCAAGUUUCCAGACCUCUAUGGGCCUCAGUUUCCUCAUUUGCCAAGUCGGGGCUUAAAGAUUACUGAGCCUCACAAAGCUGUGGUGAGUAUUCAAGAGAUCAGGGCCCUGGGUUGCAGCUCAGUUAAUAGCUAGCAUUCAUGAAGCCCUGGUACAGUCUUAACACCACAUACACUGGGUAUGGUGGUACAUUCCAGUAAUCCCAGCACUGGGGAGGUGUCAGUAGAAGGACUGGAAGUAUAAAGCCAUCAUCAGCUCAAUAGGAGGUUUGAGGCUAGCCUGGAUACAGGAUACCCUGUGUAAUAAAAAGGAAAAAAAGAAUUAAGGAGAGUUCUGGUGGGAGAGGCUUGGUGCAUGGUAACUACUAUCUGGCAAUCAAACAGAUUCUUUCCCUUGAGUGCAAUGGUUCAGGGCCUUAAUUUUACCUCCCACACCUCCUCCAGGAAGCCUCCCCUGAACACUUGAGUCUAUCCCUGCACCCUGCUCUCCGAAGACUUCCAAGACAAUGUGCUUGUGCUCUGUACUGGGAGCCUUCUUUCUCGGGCACAGGGACCCCACCAGUGUGCCCCUCCACCUUGGAGCAAAGGACUCAGGGAGUACUGAACAAAGUGGCCAAAAGGAUCUUGCCGCUCAUCCCACUCCACCCAUCUUACCCCCCUCUUUGGGUUUUCCAACCCCUUGUCUACUUUGUUCCUAAUGCUUCUGUCUCCACGUCUCUGGGGCUCUGUUUGCAAGAGGGGGAAAAAAAGUCUUCAUGCACACACACGGCCCAGCAAGCAUCCAGUUGCUCCCGGGCCGCCUGCCAGCGAUUGAGUGACCUGCAGCUUCCUCCCCAAAUCACAUUCCACUGGCACGGAUCUUGCCCCGCCUGACGCCAGCCUCCCAACUCGCCCCCAGAGCAAACAUUUCCAGUUGGCAGCCUGGCCUUGUUUUUCUGAGGCCCUAAUUCAGUCUCCCUUGUAGAAAACAGAAAACAAAAUGCGUGGGACCAAAAACUGCAACAAAAUAAACUUUAAAACGAGGGGACCCGAGGGUGAGGGCUUUGCUCCAAGGCACAUGGAAAAAUAUAAGCUUCAGGGGGUGCAGAGAGUUUUAAGAAGCAAACCCACACGCAGCCCUUCACCCCGCCUCUCAUGCUGGCUUGGAGGCUGAAACCAACUCAUUCAGGCUGCUGCUAAAGACAACUCUGUUCUCAUUCAUAGCUGAGUUAUAGGAGAACAGGAGAGAAAGAUGACAAGAGGCUGGAGACGAC